rnacentral:lncRNA from 1 species
UUAUUUUAAACUCUUCUCAUCCAGAGUUCAUGUUCUGAAUCUGAUGGUGCGAGAUACGUUUUUUCUAUUGUAUUUUAUAUUUUGUCUUUUUUCUGAUGAUCGUGUCUUUCGUCUGAAUUCCAGGACUCCGGAAAGUCUUCAGGGUCAGAAAACGAUGAUGGCAAGCAUAAGAAAGCAAAAACAGAUGAUAAGGAUGGAGAAAACACCUCGCUGAGGACUGAAGGAGAGUCAGGGGGUUUCGGCACGACCGAUUACAGUUUUAGAACUGAUGGCUCUCAGAUUUCUUCAUCUCUACUUUACUCUCACCUGCCUUCUGAAACCCUGAGCCGAGCCGAGAGCAGCAGCGCCUCCCGCAGGCCUCUGACCGCCUUAGAGAGCCUGAUGGGUCAUCCUCAGAGAAACACACUGGACAGGGACAGAGUCACGACCAGCAGAUACACCUCACAUUCCACACCAUAAGAAACACUUACACAAAUGAUUUUUUGGAUUAGAGUGCUGCAGGGAUGACUUACUUUUGUAGGUUGAAGCGGGUUCUCUUGACAAAAACGCAAUAGAAAAUAUUGCAGAAAAUAAGCUCUGUGACCAACUAGAGUUUAUGAUUCUUACAUGAAAACCUUUACAGAUGAACAUGUGUUUUAUGAAUUUUAAAGCUUAAUUACAACUAAAUGUUGGCUAUAAAUGAACUACAACAUCAUGUUACAAACAUACAUGUUUUAUUAAUCAUUUAACCCACAUUAGUUUUCAUUGUUGUUUACUUAAUAAUCACUGCAAUUAUCAAUCAUUCAUGUUUUUAUGCCAAUGCAGUUCAUCUGAAAAUGAUUCACAGGAGUGUCUUUAUGUGCUGGAAUAAUCAGUACCUGAGAGCGUUUAUGGAGCAAAUGACGUGCAUGAAAACCACACCUAGAUACUUUCCUGAAGCGCCUCGGGCGGGGGCUGUUUUUAGAGAAGUUCAUUUGCUUUGAACAUAAUUUUCUUUCUGGAGGAUUUUGGAAACACAAAAUGACACUAAAAUAUCUUCCAAUAAAUAAAAUCAGGGGUAUGUGUGUUUAUUUCAGCAGGGUCCACUUGUCUUAUUGAACAUUUAAGCAUUUGGCAGACACUUUUAUCCACAGUGACUUACAAUGCAUUCAUUUUAUAAACUCAAUAUUUAUCACAUUAAUCACACAUAAGUACAUGAAACUGAAACAGCUAAAGAUCAUUUAUAAUGUUAAAUGAGUAGUUCCAGUAUGUUUCACUGGAGAAAUCAAUAUUAUGGAUAGAGGACCUGUAAUUUAGCUGGAAGCAAUGGUUUGAAGUUAAAAAAGCUCCCCAGUGGAUGCUCUGCAGUGAAUGGGUGCCGUCAGAAUGAGAGUCCAAACAGCUGAUAAAAACAUCACAAUAAUCCACAAGUAAUCCACAGCACUCCAGUCCAUCAGUUAACAUCUGGAGAAGACAAAAGCUGAAACAAAUCCAGCAUUAAGACGCUUUUAACUUCAAACCGUUGCUUAUGACUAAAAUAUGAGUCCAGUUACAUGAAUAAACUAAUGUAAAAUAGCAUUGCAUAGUCUUCACUGCACAAAUAAAAUUUAGACUAAUCCUUGUU